CCGGAAUAGCUCAGUUGGUAGAGCAGAGGACUGAAAAUCCUCGUGUCA
rnacentral:tRNA from 8 species